UAAAAUUUGAAGACACAGCAGGAAAG
rnacentral:piRNA from 1 species